rnacentral:lncRNA from 1 species
CCACUUUUUGAACAUCUUUAUUUCUUAUUGCGCAUUUCCCUCGCCAACCACAACAAUAGAACCUUCACGAAAAAUCGAACAGAUUGCAGCAAAAAGCGCCACCAUGUGCCACUUCUCUCCAUACGUGUGAAACCCACUUUUGGUGGUGUUGUUCAGCGCAUACGUGUCCACCAUUAUUUUCUCCCAGAUUCAUUGGAAGAACCUCCUCUUUUUGUUUUUGGGAUCAGAAUCUCGAUUUGAGAUUUAUUUUAUGUGGUUAUUCUUGACAGUGAUAGAGUUUGAACAAAAACUUUGGGGUGACCAUAUUUUUAAAGUUUUAAUGGAUAAAAAGAAAUUAAUAUUGUAUAUACG